rnacentral:rRNA from 1 species
CCUACGGGAGGCAGCCGUGGGGAAUAUUGGGCAAUGGGCGCAAGCCUGACCCAGCAACGCCGCGUGAAGGAAGACGGCUUUCGGGUUGUAAACUUCUUUUCUCAGGGACGAAGCAAGUGACGGUACCUGAGGAGUAAGCCACGGCUAACUACGUGCCAGCAGCCGCGGUAAUACGUAGGUGGCAAGCGUUAUCCGGAUUUACUGGGUGUAAAGGGCGUGUAGGCGGGAUAGCAAGUCAGAUGUGAAAACCAUGGGCUCAACCUGUGGCCUGCAUUUGAAACUGUUUGGCUUGAGUACUGGAGAGGCAGACGGAAUUCCUAGUGUAGCGGUGAAAUGCGUAGAUAUUAGGAGGAACAUCAGUGGCGAAGGCGGUCUGCUGGACAGCAACUGACGCUGAGGCGCGAAAGCGUGGGGAGCAAACAGGAUUAGAUACCCUGGUAGUC